GACGGAGGGUGCAAACGUUGUUCGGAAUUACUGGGCGUAAAGCGCGCGUAGGCGGCUUAGCAAGUCGGGUGUGAAAGCCCUGGGCUCAACCUAGGAAGUGCACUCGAAACUGCCUCGCUUGAGUGUCGGAGAGGAAAGCGGAAUUCUCGGUGUAGAGGUGAAAUGCGUAGAUAUCGAGAGGAACACCGGUGGCGAAGGCGGCUUUCUGGACGAUAACUGACGCUGAGACACGAAGGCCAGGGGAGCAAACGGG
rnacentral:rRNA from 1 species